rfam:Ictidomys tridecemlineatus contig105235, whole genome shotgun sequence.
GGGGGUAUAGCUCAGUUUGUAGAGUGUUUUCCUUGCAUGUACAAGGCCAUGGGUUCAAUCCCCAGCACCACCA